AAAGGAGUUGCAAAUAAAAACUGGCCUCUGCAAAUUGUCUUCACAUCCCCGGACUCCAAUAGCUAGAAAACGACGCGGAUUUCAUUAAAAAUUCAAAACCCUAAUCCUUUUCUGGGUUUUCUGAUUUUCACUUCAUUCUCUCUAAUGGAAACCGAAGAAGAAGACAAUUCAAGGCACUCUACAAUCACUUCAACAACAGCAAUCACUGCAGAGCCUCACACUGUUAACAACCUCUUAUGUACCCAACCUCAAUGUAGGCCCCACCCUGUGGCCGAGUUGCCCGAACAACAAUUCGGUGGUGGUGGUGGGGAUGGCGAGUCACGACCGCCACCUGAAACAGAAACCAAUGUUCCCGACGACGGCGAAUAUCAGGAUGUGGUUGCGGGGGAUAAUACGCCCGCGGUAGAGUUUAGGGAGUUGGAUGUUGUUGGAGGUGGUCGUGAGUCUCAAUCUCCUCCUUCACGAUUGCUGCAACCACCGGUGGCCGAGGGGGGCGAAGGAGAGAGUGCUAAGGCCGAAGAGGAGAGUGCUGACGUCAAAGAGGAGGGCCAGGGUAUCGAGACACCAGAGAUUGUGCCAGAGGUUCCUCGAAAAGAAGAGGCAGAUAAUGAUUUGAUUCCUGGAGAGGGACGGCGUGGACAUUUAAACUACAGCGAUUCAUCUAACGAAGAUAGGGGUAAUUAUGGUGUCUUGGAUGCUGGAGUUGACGUGCCAGGAGUGAAUAAGAAAACAGAGACUAAAAUGGAGUUUGUUGUUAACUUAGUAGAGGACUCUGAGAAGGCUAUGGAAGAAGAUUUCACUGGUAUGAUAGAGGGUCCCGCAAUGGUGGAUAAGGAUAUGGAGAAGAGGGACGUGGUAGAGGAAACAAAGGAGGAGGCUGCUGACACUGCAGAAGAGGCAGAGAUGGCUCACAUGUCAGAGGAAACAAAAGAGGAUAAGGAUAGUUAUGGGGUCGUGGAUACUGGAGUUAACGUGCCAGGAGUGAAUAUGGAAACAGAGACUAAAAUGGAGGCUGUUGUUAACUUAGUAGAGGACUCUGGGAAGGCAGUGGUAGCGGAUGUCAUUUGCACGAUGGAGGGAUCAGUAAUGGUGGAUAAGGAUGUGAAGAAGAGGGACGUGCUAGAGGAAACAAAGGAGGAGGCUGCUGACACCGCAGAAGAGGCAGAGAUGGCUCAUAUGUCAGAGGAAACAAAGGAGGCAGCUUUGGAUACGGCAGAAGAGGCAGAGAUGGUUGACAUGGCAGAGGAUACCGUGGAGGUGGAGGAGGAGAAGGAGGGGAUGACUGAAGAAUUUACAUUGGCAGAGGAGAUGGAGGCAGCAGAUCAGACUGAAAUGACUGGCAAUGCAGAGGAAACUAAGGUAGCAGAGGAGACAGAGGAGGUUGUUAAUGAGGCAGGGGACAUGGACGGGAUGGAGAUGGCUGAUAGGACGGAGGAAAAUGGAAAGGAAGAGAAGAUGGAUGUAACAAAUGCCAAAGAAGAAUCAGAGACGGCUGAAAAAGCAGAGAAUGCAGAGGAGAUGGAACUUGCAGAUGGAACUGAGGCGGAGGGGGCAGGAGAUGAAGUGGAGGAACUGAGCAGAAAUGCUGGUGGGAAGAGGAAGCGGGGAAAGAAUGCCAAGGCCCCCUCUAGAGUUUCAACCAGGCAGAAGGUGGAGGAGGAUGUUUGUUUCAUUUGCUUCGAUGGAGGUGAACUUGUCCUCUGUGACCGCAGGGGGUGCCCUAAGGCAUAUCAUCCUUCCUGUGUUAAUCGAGACGAGGCAUUCUUUCAAACUAGGGGUCGUUGGAAUUGUGGUUGGCAUCUUUGUAGCAUCUGUGAGAAGAAUGCCUACUAUAUGUGUUAUACAUGCACGUUCUCCUUGUGCAAAGGCUGUGUCAAAGAUGCUCUUAUCCUAUGUGUCAGAGGUAACAAAGGUUUCUGUCAGGCAUGCAUGAAAACUGUCAUGUUGAUUGAAAGGAAUGAGCAGGGAAACAAUGAAGUGGCCCAAAUAAAUUUUGAUGACAGAAGUAACUGGGAGUAUCUCUUCAAGGAUUACUGGAUUGAUUUAAAAGGGAGGCUAUCUAUAACUUCAGACGAACUUUGUCAGGCUAAAAAUCCAUGGAAAGGAUCCGAGUUACAUGCUGGGAAGCGGAUAUCCAUGGAUGAACCUUAUGAUGCUCAUAAUGAUGCAGGAUCGGGAUCAGACAGUUCUGGAAAUCCAGAAAUAACUACUUCUAAAAGAAGAAAGGCCAAAAAGCGGUUGAAAUCUCAUGCUAAGGAGAAGGAUUCACUGAUUACAACAACAGUAAAUGAUGCUGAAGAGGCAUCCCACGAUGGAAGUGUGCAGUGGGCAUCAAAAGAGCUUUUGGAAUUUGUUAUGCAUAUGAAGAAUGGUGAUAAAUCUGUGUGUUCUCAAUUUGAUGUGCAAGCUCUUCUUCUGGAAUAUAUAAAAAGGAAUAAACUUCGUGAUCCUCGUCGUAAAAGUCAAAUAAUUUGUGAUUCAAGGCUUGAGAAACUGUUUGGGAAGCCACAUGUGGGGCACUUUGAAAUGUUAAAACUUCUGGAAACACAUUUUCUUUUAAAAGAGGAUUCUCAGGCAGAUGAUCUUCAAGGGAGUGUUGUCGAUACUGAAACUAAUCAGUUGGAGGCUGAUGGAAACUCUGAUGGUCUUAAGAAGGCUAGUAAGGACAAGAAACGUAGGUCACGUAAAAAGGGUUAUGGAAGAGGAUUGCAAUCUAAUCUUGAUGAUUAUGCGGCCAUUGAUACAUACAAUAUCAAUUUAAUAUACUUACGGCGGAGUUUGUUGGAGAAUCUAAUUGAUGAUACGGAAACAUUUCAUGAUAAAGUUGUUGGUUCUUUUGUGAGAAUCAGGAUAUCUGGGAGUGCUCAAAAGCAAGAUUUAUAUAGGCUGGUCCAAGUUGUUGGUACAAAUAAAGCUGCUGAACCCUAUAGAGUUGGCAAAAAGACAACUGAUUACCUGCUGGAAAUAUUAAAUUUAAACAAGACUGAGAUUGUAUCAAUUGAUAUAAUCUCAAAUCAAGAAUUUACUGAGGAUGAAUGCAAGCGGCUGCGACAGAGCAUAAAAUGUGGUCUUAUCAAUCGGUUGACUGUGGGUGACAUUCAGGAAAAGGCCAUGUCACUUCAGGCAGUCAGAGUUGAAGAUUCAUUGGAAUCAGAGGUAACACGUCUCAGUCAUCUUCGUGAUCGAGCCAGUGAUUUGGGCCGGAAGAAGGAGCUUAGAGAAUGCGUAGAGAAAUUGCAACUUCUGAAGUUGCCUGAGGAGCGCCAGCGCAGAUUUGAAGAAAUACCAGAAAUUCAUGCUGACCCAAAUAUGGAUCCAAGUUAUGAGUCUGAGGAAGAUGAAGGCCAAACGGAUGAAAAGAGACGAGACCAUCUGAGACCUGGAGGUUGUAGCUUUAACAGGAGAGGGAGAGAGCCUAUUUCUUCUGGAAGAGGAAGUUUUGCUUCAAAUGAUUCAUGGGGAACUAGGAAUUACUCAAGCAUGAAUCGGGAUUUGAGCAGAAACUUGUCCAAUAAAGGUUUCUUGAUCAAAACAGAUGAUAAUGCUGGAGCUGGUGAGAUACUAAAUGAAAGUUUGUGGGGUCAAGGAAGGGACAGAGAAACACAGCAAUCACAAAAUUGGGAGAAGCCAAAAUCUGCAUCAAAUUUAGAAACUAAAAGUGUCCAUCCUGUGCUAUCAUCAGGAUCAUUUCCUAGUGUUAAACAGGAUAUUGCAAUGGCACCUUCCUCUGCGGUGGUGACACGAUCUGCAAUCAAAAUUAACGAAACAGACAAGAUAUGGCAUUACCAGGAUCCAUCUGGAAAAGUACAAGGACCAUUUUCCAUGGUGCAGCUGCGGAAAUGGAGUAAUACUGGAUAUUUCCCUGCUGAUCUGAGAAUAUGGAGAACUAAUGAGAAGCAGGAUGACUCUUUUCUUUUGACUGAUGCAUUGGUUGGAAAUUUCCAGGGAGACCCUCCAUUGGUGGACAGCGGGUUCCUGAAAAGUCACAGUCCUCAUCUAUCAUCCUCGUAUUCCACAAUUGCAGAAGAGGGUUGUAAACCUCAGCCUGAAAUUAGUAAUUCUACUGAUCGAGCUACUUCAGCAUCCCUUGAUGUUCCCAAGUAUUCUACAGAAAAGUGGGGUUCUGAGACAAAUCUGCCUUCCCCGACACUGGCCCAAGCUGCCACAAGUGGAACAAAGGGGAAACCAUUUGAAAGCAAAUGGUCACCUACCCCAGCUCAACCUGCUGGUUCUCUCUUGGGAGCUAACUCACUCCCAAGUGGUAAUGGGGAGCUGCAACGCCCUGCUAUAGUUAUCCCUGAAAUCAGCCAAUUGCCACAUUUUUCAACUCCAUCUUCAACAAAACUGUUGAAUUCUGCAAAUUCUCUUCAGAUGCGUUCUCAAUCAACUUUGUCUGGUGAAUCACCAAGGGUACAGGUCAUUUCCCAUCCGCUUCCAGCACCUGAUUCUGGUUUUGCUCCAGUUAAUACUGUUACUGAUAUGAAAGGUCUCCAGAAUUUGGUUCAGCCUGUAACUAAUAAUAAUACUCUUAUUGGAACACAAGGAUGGGGGGCUGCUUCCGUUUCCAAUCCUGAAAUAGUUACUUCACAUGCAAUAACUGGUAGUGGAUCUCAGGUGUGGGGAAGUGAACCAUCCCAGAAGCCAGAGCAGAACAAUUCAAUUUCAAUGUCUACUCAACCUAGUGCUUAUGGUAGCUGGGGCGAUGCAUCAACUACUGCUGCCCAUAAUUCUGCUUCAUCCUUUAUUGCAGGCAACCUGAGCGGUAUUUCUACCGCCCCAGGAGCUUCAGGUUUGGCACCAUCUGACUGGUGGGGAGGUCCUAUGCCUGGGCAACCAAACAUUCAACCUUCUGCUGCUCCAUCUAAUGUGCCAUGGGGCGUGAGUAUUACUGAUAACCAAAGUGUUACGUCUAGACAAGGGCUAGAAAAUCAAAAUAUUGGUUGGGGGUCGGUUCCAGGAAAUCUGAACAUGGGCUGGGGAGGACCCGUAUCUGCAAAUUCAAAUCAGGGGUGGGUUGUAUCUGGUCAGAUGCCAGCACCUGCAAACACAAACGCAGGUUGGGUUGCACAUGGGCAAGCACAAGCACCUGGAAAUGCAAAUCUGGGUUUGGCUGCUGCAGUUCAGGGUCAAGCACCAGGAAAUGCAUUUCCAGGUUGGGUGCCACCUGGCCAAGGGCAAACACCUAUAAAUGCCAAUUUAGCUUGGGUACCCCUUGGCCAAGGGCAACCUCCUGGAAAUGCAAAUCCCAGUUGGGUAGCAUCUCCAGGGAAUGUGGGGUCAUGUGGAAGUGAAAAGAACCACAAUGGGGACAGAUUCUCAAGCCAAAGGGAUGGUGGUUCUCAGGGUGGAGAUACUGGUUAUGGUGGAGGUAAGCCAUGGAAUAGGCAGUCAUCAUUUGGCAGGGGAGACUCUUCUAGGCCUCCCUUCAAAGGGCAUAGAGUGUGCAAGUACCAUGAAAGUGGGCAUUGCAUAAAAGGAGCUGCAUGUGAUUAUUUGCAUACUUGAGUUUUAGAAUUUUGGAGCAGCGUAGUGCAGUUAAAUCUGUACAGUAAUUUAAUUUGAAAGAGUGCAAUAUGAUUGUGCAUGAUGAUGGCAACCUCUUGAUCAAAAUGAAGUAUGGAGGGACCAAAAUCAGCUGCCUAAACUCAUGAUGAGAGACAAUAAGCAAAAUCACAGAGUAUCGCCCAUUCCAAUGAUGGAGAAUAACACCGAUGGUGAUUGCAAGAUUGACAAUACAUUGAUUGAUCUUAAUGCCAAACCUCAGCAGAUACACGGGCAAAAUACAACUAACCAGGAACAGGGUAUGGAUGUUAUGAGUGGUACUAAUCAUGAAUCUGCAAGUGCGGUCCCUGUUGGAUCCUUCAAAAGAG